GACGAACGCUGGCGGCGUGCCUAAUACAUGCAAGUAGAACGCAGUUGCGAACGGGUGAGUAAGGCAUAGGUAACUGCCUGGUAGCGGGGGAUAACUAUUGGAAACGAUAGCUAAUACCGCAUACUACCAGAUGGACCUGCGUUGUAUUAGCUAGUUGGUGAGGUAACGGCCCACCAAGGCAACCAUACAUAGCCGACCUUGGAGGGGGAUCGGCCACACUGGGACUGAGACACGGCCCCGACUCCUACCGGAGGGAGCAGUAGGGAAGUUUCGGCAAUGGGGGGAACCCUGAACGAGCAAAGCCGCGUUAGUGAAGAAGGUCUUCGGAUCGUAAAGCUAUGUUGUUAAGGGAGCGGUACUUAACCAGAAAGGGACGGCUAACUACGUGCCAGCAGCCGCGGUAAUAC
rnacentral:rRNA from 1 species